ACUCCUACGGGAGGCAGCAGUGGGGAAUUUUCCGCAAUGGGCGCAAGCCUGACGGAGCAACGCCGCGUGAGGGAUGAAGGCCUCUGGGCUGUAAACCUCUUUUCUCAAGGAAGAAGAUCUGACGGUACUUGAGGAAUAAGCCACGGCUAAUUCCGUGCCAGCAGCCGCGGUAAU
rnacentral:rRNA from 1 species